CAAUAGCGUAUAUUAAAGUUGUUGCAGUUAAAAAGACUCGUAGUUGGACUUCUGAUGCGAAAGGUUGGUCCACCGCAAGGUGAGCACUGACUCUUCGCGUCUUCCUCUCGUAGUUGUUUGGCGCACUUAGUUGGGUGCCAGAUGAAUAUGGGACCUUUACUUUGAAAAAUUAGAGUGUUCAAAGCAGGCAAUCGCUUGAAUACAUUAGCAUGGAAUAAUAGAAUAGGACUUUGGUUCUAUUUUGUUGGUUUCUAGGACCGAGGUAAUGAUUAAUAGGGACAGUUGGGGGCAUUAGUAUUUAAUUGUCAGAGGUGAAAUUCUUUGAUCCGCUGAAGACUAACUUAUGCGAAAGCAUUCACCAAGGAUGUCUUCUUUAAAUCAAGAACGAAAGUUGGGGG
rnacentral:rRNA from 1 species